rnacentral:rRNA from 1 species
CUACGGGAGGCUGCAGUAGGGAAUCUUCGGCAAUGGACGGAGGUCUGACCGAGCAACGCCGCGUGAGUGAAGAAGGUUUUCGGAUCGUAAAGCUCUGUUGUAAGAGAAGAACGAGUGUGAGAGUGGAAAGUUCACACUGUGACGGUAUCUUACCAGAAAGGGACGGCUAACUACGUGCCAGCAGCCGCGGUAAUACGUAGGUCCCGAGCGUUGUCCGGAUUUAUUGGGCGUAAAGCGAGCGCAGGCGGUUAGAUAAGUCUGAAGUUAAAGGCUGUGGCUUAACCAUAGUACGCUUUGGAAACUGUUUAACUUGAGUGCAGAAGGGGAGAGUGGAAUUCCAUGUGUAGCGGUGAAAUGCGUAGAUAUAUGGAGGAACACCGGUGGCGAAAGCGGCUCUCUGGUCUGUAACUGACGCUGAGGCUCGAAAGCGUGGGGAGCAAACAGGAUUAGAUACCCUUGUAGUC